UCUCAUCGACCCAAUGACUUCCUUCGCCUUGCGCGGAAGGAGUUCGCUAUGCGACCCCAGGUCAGGCGGGGCUACCCGCUGAGUUUAAGCAUAUC
rnacentral:rRNA from 1 species